rnacentral:lncRNA from 1 species
GUUACAUUGUAUGCAGCCAAACUAGGUGGAAGGCAGUAGAACAGAAAACAAUCUCCAUUGUGUACAUAUGCAAUAACUCAUAUAUUGAAGCGGAAAACAACGGCCCUUUCGUUUAUUCUCAAUGUAUUGUCUUACUGAUCUCUUUUGUUAAAUAAAUUUAUUUUUUCAUCUACAACUGCAAAAGGCGCAACAGAUGUGUUAAAAUCAGCAAUGUGACUUAUUUGAAGAUUCAUGUGACCUUUGUUGUUGUUUAGAUGUUUUAUUCGAAGUUCGUAUAUAUCCCUUCAACCAUUUAUUUAGAUGGUUUUUUAACGUAUAGAUAGUGCGAAACUCUCACUGCACUAUGCAUCGGAUAUACGACAUUUUUAUUUCGACUAAACAAGGCUGCAAAUUUAUACAUCCGAGCAGCUAAACGGCCGCAGUUCAAGGCAGGUUCCAUUACAUAUAAUUAACAUUCAUAAUCAUGUCAUAUAGCUGUAUUUUAUUCCAGUAGAAAGAAUUUUGUUAAUAACCAUUAAUUUAUGAUCAUGAUGGCAAAUAAUAAAAGUGAU